rnacentral:tRNA from 1 species
GGGCGAUUAGCUCAGUUGGCUAGAGCACUUGCUCGACAAGCAAGGGGUCACAGGUUCGAGUCCUGUAUCGCCCA